GACGAACCGAGCGAACGUUGUUCGGAAUCACUGGGCUUAAAGGGCGUCGUAGGCGGGUGCUCAAGUCUGUGGUGAAAUCCUCCGGCUCAACCGGAGAACUGCCAUGGAUACUGGGUGCCUCGAGGGUGGUAGGGGUAUGCGGAACUAUCGGUGGAGCGGUGAAAUGCGUUGAUAUCGAUAGGAACUCCGGUGGCGAAGGCGGCAUACUGGACCACUUCUGACGCUGAGGCGCGAAAGCCAGGGGAGCGAACGGG
rnacentral:rRNA from 1 species